AAAAACGGUAUUUUGUUUACAUUGUUUACAUCCAAUAUUUCUACGGAGCUGAAGUGAGACGACUAUGGAUUUUAGUUUCUGGAUUAUAGAAGUGUUUAUUUAGUUCAUUAUCAUGAUAACUCAGUGAGUUGUAAACAGAAAAUGUGUCACAUGCAAGCCAAAUGAAUCAACUUAAAUGAGGAUGGACGCUAAAAUCUACCAUGUCUACACAAAAAUUAAAAUAUUCAUACCAGACAGAUCAGAGACAAUGCUUGAAAUAUUUAAAUUUUGCAAAAGAAGAGGGUAAAAGUGCACUUGAAAAAAAACCCAAGACCAACAAAUACUAUAGUUGACAAGGGAUGAUUUUCUUUAGCAGAAUUUCUUUCAUCCAUGAAGAUAAACAGCUAUGUUAGCCACUUUGCUCCACAGAAAAGAAGAGCUGGCUUUCAACUAAAACUGAAAAUCUUAUCAAAUAGAAUUCAAAAUUAUAUAUAAUUAUAUAUAGGGAUAUUUGGGUUAAAUACAAUGGUACAAACAAAGUAUUUUCUGAACUAUUUCAAAGCAAAUGUGUGCCUGACUUAUACUCUGUCUAUUUUUGAAAAUAAGAUGUGUUCAUAUGUCAAUGCUGGUGCAUAAUGAUUUAUUACCACUUGAUCAUUUGAGUUGUUGAAUUAUUUUCAGUGAAAAUUAUUACAAUUAAUGAUGGUAAAAAUUAAAGUUGAUAUU
rnacentral:sRNA from 1 species